UAGCCUAGUGGCUAAGGCUUUGGGUCGCCAAUCCGGAGACGGCGGGUUCGAUUCCCGU
rfam:Aedes albopictus isolate Foshan contig26291, whole genome shotgun sequence.